AGAAACAGACAAACUAUAUUUGAAACCUAGGUUAAAGGUCAAGUUUAAAGGUGUAAAAACAAGUACAGGAUAUUUACAAUGAGCAGACCUCAGUGCAAGAAAGUGUAAUUCUAACACUGAAAAGGUCAAAGGUCAAUUUUAACAUUAAAAGGUGUAAAAACAAGUACAGGAUAUUUACAAUAAGCAGACCUCAGUGCAAGAAAGUGUAAUUCUAACACUGAAAAGGUCAAAGGUCAACUUUAACAUUAAAAGGUGUAAAAACAAGUACAGGAUAUUUGCAAUAAGCAGACCUCAGUGCAAGAAAGUGUAUUUCCAACACUAAAAAGGUCAAAGGUCAACUUUAAAGGUGUAAAAAGAAGUACAGGAUAUUUACAAUAAGCAGAACUCAGUGCAAGAAAGUGUCUUUCCAACACUGAAAAGGUCAAAGGUCAACUUUAAAGGUGUAAAAAGAAGUACAGGAUAUUUACAAUAAGCAGAACUCAGUGCAAGAAAGUGUCUUUCCAACACUGAAAAGGUCAAAGGUCAACUUUAAAGGUGUAAAAAGAAGUACAGGAUAUUUACAAUAAGCAGACCUCAGUGCAAGAAAGUGUCUUUCCAACACUGAAAAGGUCAAAGGUCAACUUUAACAUUAAAAGGUGUAAAAAGAAGUACAGGAUAUUUACAAUAAGCAGACCUCAGUGCAAGAAAGUGUCUUUCCAACACUAAAAAGGUCAAAGGUCAACUUUAAAGGUGUAAAAACAAGUACAGGAUAUUUACAAUAAGCAGACCUCAGUGCAAGAAAGUGUCUUUCCAACACUGAAAAGGUC
ensembl:lncRNA